rnacentral:rRNA from 1 species
UACGGAGGAUGCGAGCGUUAUCCGGAUUUACUGGGGUUAAAGGGUGCGCAGGCGGUUGUUUAAGUCAGGGGUGAAAGCCCUAUGCUCAACAUAGGGAUUGCCUUUGAUACUGAACGGCUAGAGUGAAGAUGGAGUGGGUGGAAUGUGUUGUGUAGCGGUGAAAUGCAUAGAUAUAACACAGAACACCGAUCGCGAAGGCAGCCCCCUGGGCCUGUACUGACGCUCAUGCACGAAAGCGUGGGGAGCAAACAGG